UAUUGAAAUUUUCUAAAAGAUAUUGCAUUUAAUUUUUUAAUAAAUAUUAUACUGGCUAUUAGGAAAUUCGUAUUUGUUAAAUUUUAAUUCAUAAUUCGACAUUACCAGUUCAUCCGAAGCGAUUCUGACGUGCAAAUCGAUCAUCUGUCUUCAAAAUAGAGGCAAAAUACCAAUCAAACAAUCUAGUAGUUGGUUCCCUCAGAAGUUUCCCUCAUGAUAGCUGGAGUACGUAAUGAAGCUGUUAUAUUCGGUAAAGCAAAUGAUUAGAGGAAUUGUGGGACGAAUCGUCUUCAACCUAUUCUCAAACUUUUGAUGAGUAUGACGUCUCAUAUACUUGGAUGAAGUGUAGACGUUGAGUGUGUGCUUCACGUACGUCAUUUUUGGUGAGCAGAAGUGACGCUGUGGGAGGAACCAAACGUUGGGUUGCUUCAAACUAUAUUGCAUACACAAUUUACGCUGUGUUCGUAAGCCAGACCGGUUUAAUUUUUAAUUCUCAUAU
rnacentral:ncRNA from 1 species